rnacentral:lncRNA from 1 species
GUUACAACACACAAAGGUAUUCAACUUUAGUAAAGGAAAUUCUUAUAAAAGAUUAGGUAGAACAAAAAUUGAAAGUAAACGUUGUGGCCCAGCACGGUGCCUCACACCUGUAAUCCCAGCACUUUCGGAGGCCAAGGCGGGUGGAUCACGAGGUCAGGAGAUCGAGACCAUCCUGGCUAACAUGGUGAAACCCCGUCUCUACUAAAAAAAUACAAAAAAAUUAGCUGGGCAUGGUGGUGGGGGCCUGUAGUCCCAGCUACUAGGGAGGCUGAGGCAGGGGAAUGGCAUGAACCCAGGAGGCAGAGCUUGCAGUAAGC